GAUGAACGCUGGCGGCGUGCUUAACACAUGCAAGUCGAACGGGAUCCAUCAGGCUUUGCUUGGUGGUGAGAGUGGCGAACGGGUGAGUAAUGCGUGACCGACCUGCCCCAUACACCGGAAUAGCUCCUGGAAACGGGUGGUAAUGCCGGAUGCUCCAGUUGAUCGCAUGGUCUUCUGGGAAAGCUUUCGCGGUAUGGGAUGGGGUCGCGUCCUAUCAGCUUGACGGCGGGGUAACGGCCCACCGUGGCUUCGACGGGUAGCCGGCCUGAGAGGGCGACCGGCCACAUUGGGACUGAGAUACGGCCCAGACUCCUACGGGAGGCAGCAGUGGGGAAUAUUGCACAAUGGGCGCAAGCCUGAUGCAGCGACGCCGCGUGAGGGAUGGAGGCCUUCGGGUUGUAAACCUCUUUUAUCGGGGAGCAAGCGAGAGUGAGUUUACCCGUUGAAUAAGCACCGGCUA
rnacentral:rRNA from 1 species